rnacentral:rRNA from 1 species
CGGCAAAAGCUCAAAUUUGAAAUCUGGUACCUUUGGUGCCCGAGUUGUAAUUUGGAGAGUACCACUUUGGGACUGUACUUUGCCUAUGUUCCUUGGAACAGGACGUCAUGGAGGGUGAGAAUCCCGUGUGGCGAGGGUGUCAGUUCUUUGUAAAGGGUGCUCGAAGAGUCGAGUUGUUUGGGAAUGCAGCUCUAAGUGGGUGGUAAAUUCCAUCUAAAGCUAAAUACAGGCGAGAGACCGAUAGCGAACAAGUACAGUGAUGGAAAGAUGAAAAGAACUUUGAAAAGAGAGUGAAAAAGUACGUGAAAUUGUUGAAAGGGAAGGGCAUUUGAUCAGACAUGGUGUUUUGCGCCCCUUGCCUCUCGUGGGCUUGGGACUCUCGCAGCUCACUGGGCCAGCAUCGGUUUUGGCGGCCGGAAAAAACCUAGGGAAUGUGGCUCUGCGCCUCGGUGUAGAGUGUUAUAGCCCUGGGGAAUACGGCCAGCCGGGACCGAGGA